rnacentral:rRNA from 1 species
CCAGACUCCUAGGGAGGCAGCAGUGGGGAAUAUUGCACAAUGGGCGCAAGCCUGAUGCAGCGACGCCGCGUGAGGGAUGACGGCCUUCGGGUUGUAAACCUCUGUUAGCAUCGAAGAAGCGAAAGUGACGGUAGGUGCAGAGAAAGCGCCGGCUAACUACGUGCCAGCAGCCGCGGUAAUACGUAGGGCGCGAGCGUUGUCCGGAAUUAUUGGGCGUAAAGAGCUUGUAGGCGGUUGGUCGCGUCUGCUGUGAAAGGCCGGGGCUUAACUCCGGUUUUGCAGUGGGUACGGGCUAACUAGAGUGCAGUAGGGGAGACUGGAAUUCCUGGUGUAGCGGUGGAAUGCACAGAUAUCAGGAGGAACACCGAUGGCGAAGGCAGGUCUCUGGGCUGUAACUGACGCUGAGAAGCGAAAGCAUGGGGAGCGAACAGGAUUAGAUACCCUGGUAGUCCAUGCCGUAAACGUUGGGCACUAGGUGUGGGGGACAUUCCACGUUUUCCGCGCCGUAGCUAACGCAUUAAGUGCCCCGCCUGGGGAGUACGGCCGCAAGGCUAAAACUCAAAGGAAUUGACGGGGGCCCGCACAAG